GUGAGUAAGGGUGGGACUCUAUCGAGCCCUGCGAAUAGCUCCGGGAAACUGGAAUUAAUACCCGUAUACGCCCUAGGGGGGAAAGAUUUAUCGGGGUUUGAUGAGCCCGCGUUGGAUUAGCUAGUUGGUGGGGUAAAGGCUCACCAGGGCGACGAUCCAUAGCUGGGCUGAGAGGAUGAUCAGCCACAUUGGGACUGAGACACGCCCUAAACUCCUACGGGAGGGCAGCAGUGGGGAAUAUUGGACAAUGGGCGCAGGCUGAUUCCGCAUUCCCGCGUACGUAUUGAGGCCUAGGGGUGGUAAGCUCUUUCACCGGUAAGAAUAAUGCGGUAACGGGAAAGAAGCCCCGGUUAACU
rnacentral:rRNA from 1 species